AUGGACAUGAGGGCCCUCGUUCAGUUCCUUGAUCUUCUGCUGCUCUUGCUUCCAGAAGCCAGUUGUGACAUGCAGACUACCCAGUCUCCACCCUCCCUGUUUGUAUCUCUAGGACAGACAGUCACCAUCACUUGCCAGGCAAGUCAGAGCAUUAACAGGUUGUUAGCCUGGUAUCAGCAGAAACCAGGGAAGAGUCCUAAACUCUUGCUCUAUGGUGCAUCCACUUUGCAAUCUGGAGUCCCAUCAUGGUUCAGAGGCAGUGGGUCUGGAACAGACUAUGCUGUCACCAUCAGCAGCCUGGAGGCUGAGGAUGUUGGAAUUUAUUACUGUCAAAAAUCUUACAGUAAUCCUUCUACUGUGUUAUAA